rnacentral:lncRNA from 1 species
UUUUUUUUUUUUUUUGGUUUUUUGGUUUGGUUUGGUUUGGUUUUUUUGUUGGUUUUGCAUGGUUGGUUUGGGUUUUCUCUUUCCAGCUAUCUAAUUUUCUCUUCUUUGAAAUGCAGUGCCUCGUUUUUCCAGCCCAGUUUGGCAGUGUCAUCAAAAGCCCAGGCACAUCACUCAGACAACUCAAGAGUACCCAAGGCAAACACAACUCUCAGGGUGAUCUCCCAUUCUCAGGAAGACACAGGCUCUCCUGUGUCUGGGUUGCUACUCCUGGGCAUGGAUUGCUAUUCUCUCCUCCAAAAUUAUUAUUCCCUUUACCUCAGCUGCUGGAGCCCUUCCUUUGGAGGUUAUCUCAGGCCAGCCCAAGCUUCCUCAAGGCUGGCUGAACUGGGAGCAGCUGCAGAGCUUCCCAGCCCAAGUGGAUCAGUCUCCAAGGUCAUUCCGACCCUCACUCCAGCUCUGUGAUCACUCUGUUGUGACUUCACCCAUUCCUUUCUCCUGGAGAAACAAGUGAAGUCUCACAGACAAUAAAACCUAGCAACAGUGUCUGGACAAUCAGUGCCCUGCCCCUAAAAAAUAACACUUAAAAAUCAUGGCAAGUAACACAAGGUGUGAACCUCUCCUUUAGCCUAACUCUAAAGACAUGUGCUGUUGGUCAGAGCACUCAACAGUAAAAUCACAUUGUCAUCCAAAGAUUUCACCUCUGUGAUACAAUUUUUUUUUUUGCCCAUGCCUGUAUAAAAUUACUACUUUGGUGACAAAGGAGAGGCAUUCAGAUUUUCUGAAUACAGAUUAGGUCUUUAUGAGAUAUUCAGUCAUAGAAGUCACUGCUCAUGAAAAUAAGGUUUUCUCAGUCUGUAUUUAAGCAUUUCAGAAAGAAACUGCCCUUGCAGCCAAGAUGUUAUUGCCUGGAUCAGCAUGAUAUACAUGGAGAGGAAAAAAAAAGUAGAAAGCUGCACAAAAUGUAAAAUGCUGAUAGCUGUCAAGAAACCUUGUAAAGCACAACAAACAGCACACAAUCACUUCAGCAAUUUGAGGCUGUAGAGUGGGAAGGAAGGCCAAAACUAGGAGCACCAAAUACACACAAAACCUAAUUUAUGUUGCUAAAUAUACCACUGAGGGAAAUGCUUAUAGAGAUACAGGGAUAAUGUUAAGACUCAUUAUUUUGUCUGCAAGACUCCCGGGCUCAGCUGUGCAGGGAAAUGUGAAUCCCAAAAGCCAUUCUUUGUCCAUUUCUAACUUGGAAUCUGUUUGGUUUCUCAUUAGGAGCAGUGGGGAACGACUCACAGCUCACCACAUCCCCACGUCCCAGUGCUUGGACUGAAGUGCUCUGUGUGCACAAAGCAAGUCCACAACAGAGCAUUAAGAAACACAUGGCCUGUGUGGUGAUGGGGACAGCAGGGGUGUCCCUGCCUCCAGCACCCAGUACUCCACAGGAUCCAAACUCCAGCACAAGGUAGACCAUGCUGCUGGCCCAAAUUCCCAAUCUUCCCAGUCCUCAGCAGUGUGAUAAACCAGCUCUCCCAGUGCACGAGAUGGUGUCAUGCUGAGCACACCUAGGUCAUGCAGUGCAGAGCCCCAUUAGAGAUCCCUGGACCAGCUCCAAAUGAGUAAAAGCAUCCACAGCAGCACAUAACAAUAGUAGGUCAGGUCCUAGAAGCAAUAAAACCACAUUAGCAGCAUGUAAAAGUAUGCUAAGUAGCCUCUCUGGUUUUGCCCUGAAAAAAAAAUAGCCUCCUCCAGUAGCUCUUUACUGCAACCAUUUACAGGAGCAUCCAGGAUUCUUUUUUAGGUGCACAGCAAAAACUCUCAGGGAAGGAUGAUAUGAACCCUAAACAGCUCAUGAAAUCAGCCACAGAGAGACAUUCCUGCUCUUGAGUGGAGUUUCCUCAUGCCUGGGUUGUGACUGCCUGCAAGGUGCAUGGGGCAAGAGGAUUUGGGCUGUUGGAAGAAGUGAUGCCUCCUUGGGGUUAAGGACACUCCUGUGUCUGAGAGCUCAGGAACCCAACUGCUGCUGAACUGAAGAAACAGACUCUGGAAUGCAAGAGUAAGACUUAGAAAAUCUCCAAACUAUAAAUACUCAACUUCCCCCAAAAAAGUCAGUGAAGCACAGCUUCCCCACCAAGCCACGUUUACCACUAUUAUUAAAAUUUACCACUGCUGUGAUAAUAAGAUAAAUAAGCACACAAAAAAAAGGUAGCUGGGCUCUGUAACAAGACUAUUCCAAAGAGCCUAAAUUAUUUUGCACACAAUCCAUAUUUCUUCCAAGGGACACAACCCUACAGCUGAUACUGGGAUGAAAGGAAACCCAGCAGACAUUGCACUUUUAUUACAUAUUUCUCCAUCGAGCAACUGAUUAAAGUUUGCAUUCCAAGUACAGCCAUGCUCUAGGCUUAAGAAAAAUCUUCUCAUUUGAAAGUCAUUUCCCUCCCCUGCAUCUGGGACAAUCAGCAGCACGGAAUAGAAAAUAUUAAUAAAUAAAUAUGCAUCAGCCCAGAGUUCAUGUUCAGUCACAGCCAAGAUUUGUAUGUCUUGUUAAUGGAUCCCAGCAUCAGGAGGUCUGAAAGACUGAAUUCUGAUACUUCCAGCAAAUAAAAGAAAACCUCACUGCUCUGCAGGGCUUCAGCUGUGAUUUGGGAAGUUAUCUUUCCUCCUCACAGACCUUGGUGUUCAGCUCAGUGACCCAGGGCUGUAGCUCACCUCCCAGCCUGGGUUUUCCCCCAAAGCACAGAACUUCUCCCAAAGUCCUGAGUGCUUCGGCCCAGCAAGAGUGUGCUGAGGACACUGUCCCAAUGGUGCUGUUUUGUUGCAGUCUCCAGCUGAGGAUGAAGUCAAAGAGGAGCACUUCACUGCUCAGCUGCAGAAGGACAGUGGCUGUAGGAUGAUGAUUCAGGUUUUGACCCUGGUAUCACUCUUCUAAGCCCCAGUUAUGUGUGGGCUUAGAAGAGCAGAAAUACAGAAGGUGGCACGGUAUCACAACCAUAUUUUGUGGGGGGAAAAGAGGGUAUUUGUAGUUGCCAUCAUAUGACACAUUGUGGGAACAUGUACCAGACUGUCACAUAUCAAUAUCUGGAGGCUUAAAACCCCCUUAAGUCUGUCCCUUAAUAAAAGGGAUGCUUUGAGCUUUGGUAUGUGAAGCAGAUCUGUUUUGCUGAGGGUUUCUGCAGAGAAAGAAUUUCACCUUUAAUGAGAUGUAGGGGAAUUUUCACUUUCCUAUUUCCCCAGUUCUCUCCAAAUAUCAGCUUCAUCCUUCCAAUCCUGUGUUGGCCAUGUUGUGCAGAGCCUGUGCACUCUCUCUUCCUGGACAUUGAAAGAGCUCAAAAAAGUUUUUACCUCCUAUCCUAUGACAAUCAAAAUGCUGCACACACUCCAGAGUGCAAAAUGCUUUCUUAAAAAAAAAGAAAAAAGAAAGGAAGUCAAGAAUAACAUGAUGACACAUAACACAGGUGCUUGUGUUAGAAUAGAAAGAAUCAGUGACAGAACUGCAGCUAGAGAAAUUGCUGGCCU